GCCUGCCCGCCGACGCCCAGCGCCCGGCCGGGACCCGGGUCAGGAUGGACAGGGAAAAGCACCUUCCUUACGCAAAAAGUAUCGACUCGUUUCUGCUCUUCAGCAUUGUGGAGAAGGUUCUUUAACAGCUGCAGAAAAAUCAAGAAGACCCACAGGCAAAUUUCGAAGAACACACAGCUAAUUUACAAACAAGGGGGAAACAGAACUUUGAGAAACUCAGCGGCUCCAAAAACUGCAGUAGAAGGGAAACAAUUCAGAAAGAGGCCUCCGCGACUUUCAGAGAGCGCGUGCCUUGUUCGGCCUCCUACGCAGAAACCCACAGCAGAAUGUGUGUGCGGCGAACACGUGGCUGCGCUGCCCUUGCUUCCCCGAGUCCUUCCGCGCACAGGAGGGUCCCAUCGCGCCCAGGAGGGCCCCUCAGCCCGGCUCCUUCGUGAUGCCCAGGGAUCUCAAGAUGGAGCAUGUCGGAGAAGCAAGUAGUCAUCACAAGGCCCCUGGGACCACGGAGGAACCACUGCAGAAGGUAAGGAACAGCCUAGAAAGUCCUAGAAUAAAGGCACAGCACGAUGGGAUGGACAUGGGUGGCGGGGGGUGGGUUGAGAGUAUGGAGAAAUGGUUACAUGGGCCCAAGGAGUCUGUCUUUUUUUGGGGGGGAGACGCCUAUGUGCGCUGCUUGCUCAUCAUAUUUGUGAAUAACUUUGAAAAUCAUCGGUAAAAGAAAGAAAGAAAGAA